rnacentral:sRNA from 1 species
GCCGGGCAUGGUGGCUCAUGCCUGUAAUCCAAGCACUUUGGAGGCCAAGGCGGGUGGAUCACCUGAGGUCGGGAGUUCAGGACCAGCCUGACCAACAUGGUAAAACCCUGUCUUAA